rnacentral:rRNA from 1 species
UACGGAGGGUGCAAGCGUUGUUCGGAAUUAUUGGGCGUAAAGGGUGCGUAGGCGGUGUGUUAAGUCAGGUGUGAAAUCUCGGGGCUUAACUCCGAAACUGCAUUUGAUACUGGCGUGCUUGAGUGCUGGAGAGGAGACUGGAAUUCCUGGUGUAGCAGUGAAAUGCGUAGAGAUCAGGAGGAAGACCAGUGGCGAAGGCGGGUCUCUGGACAGUACCUGACACUGAGGCACGAAGGCCUGGGGAGCAAACGGG